rnacentral:rRNA from 1 species
AGAGUUUGAUCCUGGCUCAGGAUGAACGCUGGCGGCGUGCCUAAUACAUGCAAGUCGAGCGAACGGACGAGAAGCUUGCUUCUCUGAUGUUAGCGGCGGACGGGUGAGUAACACGUGGAUAACCUACCUAUAAGACUGGGAUAACUUCGGGAAACCGGAGCUAAUACCGGAUAAUAUUUUGAACCGCAUGGUUCAAAAGUGAAAGACGGUCUUGCUGUCACUUAUAGAUGGAUCCGCGCUGCAUUAGCUAGUUGGUAAGGUAACGGCUUACCAAGGCAACGAUGCAUAGCCGACCUGAGAGGGUGAUCGGCCACACUGGAACUGAGACACGGUCCAGACUCCUACGGGAGGCAGCAGUAGGGAAUCUUCCGCAAUGGGCGAAAGCCUGACGGAGCAACGCCGCGUGAGUGAUGAAGGUCUUCGGAUCGUAAAACUCUGUUAUUAGGGAAGAACAUAUGUGUAAGUAACUGUGCACAUCUUGACGGUACCUAAUCAGAAAGCCACGGCUAACUACGUGCCAGCAGCCGCGGUAAUACGUAGGUGGCAAGCGUUAUCCGGAAUUAUUGGGCGUAAAGCGCGCGUAGGCGGUUUUUUAAGUCUGAUGUGAAAGCCCACGGCUCAACCGUGGAGGGUCAUUGGAAACUGGAAAACUUGAGUGCAGAAGAGGAAAGUGGAAUUCCAUGUGUAGCGGUGAAAUGCGCAGUGAUAUGGAGGAACACCAGUGGCGAAGGCGACUUUCUGGUCUGUAACUGACGCUGAUGUGCGAAAGCGUGGGGAUCAAACAGGAUUAGAUACCCUGGUAGUCCACGCCGUAAACGAUGAGUGCUAAGUGUUAGGGGGUUUCCGCCCCUUAGUGCUGCAGCUAACGCAUUAAGCACUCCGCCUGGGGAGUACGACCGCAAGGUUGAAACUCAAAGGAAUUGACGGGGACCCGCACAAGCGGUGGAGCAUGUGGUUUAAUUCGAAGCAACGCGAAGAACCUUACCAAAUCUUGACAUCCUUUGACAACUCUAGAGAUAGAGCCUUCCCCUUCGGGGGACAAAGUGACAGGUGGUGCAUGGUUGUCGUCAGCUCGUGUCGUGAGAUGUUGGGUUAAGUCCCGCAACGAGCGCAACCCUUAAGCUUAGUUGCCAUCAUUAAGUUGGGCACUCUAAGUUGACUGCCGGUGACAAACCGGAGGAAGGUGGGGAUGACGUCAAAUCAUCAUGCCCCUUAUGAUUUGGGCUACACACGUGCUACAAUGGACAAUACAAAGGGCAGCGAAACCGCGAGGUCAAGCAAAUCCCAUAAAGUUGUUCUCAGUUCGGAUUGUAGUCUGCAACUCGACUACAUGAAGCUGGAAUCGCUAGUAAUCGUAGAUCAGCAUGCUACGGUGAAUACGUUCCCGGGUCUUGUACACCCCGCCCGUCACACCACGAGAGUUUGUAACACCCGAAGCCGGUGGAGUAACCUUUUAGGAGCUAGCCGUCGAAGGUGGGACAAAUGAUUGGGGUGAAGUCGUAACAAGGUAGCCGUAUCGGAA